GGUAAACGGCGGCCGUAACUAUAACGGUCCUAAGGUAGCGAAAUUCCUUGUCGGGUAAGUUCCGACCUGCACGAAUGGCGUAAUGAUGGCCAGGCUGUCUCCACCCGAGACUCAGUGAAAUUGAACUCGCUGUGAAGAUGCAGUGUACCCGCGGCAAGACGGAAAGACCCCGUGAACCUUUACUAUAGCUUGACACUGAACAUUGAGCCUUGAUGUGUAGGAUAGGUGGGAGGCUUUGAAGUGUGGACGCCAGUCUGCAUGGAGCCGACCUUGAAAUACCACCCUUUAAUGUUUGAUGUUCUAACGUGGACCCGUUACCCGGGUUGCGGACAGUGUCUGGUGGGUAGUUUGACUGGGGCGGUCUCCUCCUAAAGAGUAACGGAGGAGCACGAAGGUUGGCUAAUCCUGGUCGGACAUCAGGAGGUUAGUGCAAUGGCAUAAGCCAGCUUGACUGCGAGCGUGACGGCGCGAGCAGGUGCGAAAGCAGGUCAUAGUGAUCCGGUGGUUCUGAAUGGAAGGGCCAUCGCUCAACGGAUAAAAGGUACUCCGGGGAUAACAGGCUGAUACCGCCCAAGAGUUCAUAUCGACGGCGGUGUUUGGCACCUCGAUGUCGGCUCAUCACAUCCUGGGGCUGAAGUAGGUCCCAAGGGUAUGGCUGUUCGCCAUUUAAAGUGGUACGCGAGCUGGGUUUAGAACGUCGUGAGACAGUUCGGUCCCUAUCUGCCGUGGGCGCUGGAGAACUGAGGGGGGCUGCUCCUAGUACGAGAGGACCGGAGUGGACGCAUCACUGGUGUUCGGGUUGUCAUGCCAAUGGCACUGCCCGGUAGCUAAAUGCGGAAGAGAUAAGUGCUGAAAGCAUCUAAGCACGAAACUUGCCCCGAGAUGAGUUCUCCCUGAGACUUUAGGUCUCCUGAAGGAACGUUGAAGACGACGACGUUGAUAGGCCGGGUGUGUAAGCGCAGCGAUGCGUUGAGCUAACCGGUACUAAUGAACCGUGAGGCUUAACCUUACAACGCCG
rnacentral:rRNA from 1 species